CACAUACUCCCUCUGUCCGAAAAAGCUUGUCCCUCAAAUGGAUGUAUCUAGCACCAAGUUAGUGCUAGAUACAUCCAUUUAAAAGACAAGUUUGGGACAAGCUUUUUCGGACGGAGGGAGUACUAG
rnacentral:pre_miRNA from 1 species